GAGUUUGAUCCUGGCUCAGAAUGAACGCUGGCGGCAGGCCUAACACAUGCAAGUCGAACGGAGUUAUAUUGUAGCUUGCUAUGGUAUAACUUAGUGGCAGACGGGUGAGUAAUGUAUAGGAAUCUACCUAGUAGUACGGAAUAAUUGUUGGAAACGGCAACUAAUACCGUAUACGCCCUACGGGGGAAAAAUUUAUUGCUAUUAGAUGAGCCUAUAUUAGAUUAGUUAGUUGGUGAGGUAAAGGCUUACCAAGACAAUGAUCUAUAGCUGAUCUGAGAGGAUGAUCAGCCACACUGGAACUGAGAUACGGUCCAGACUCCUACGGGAGGCAGCAGUGGGGAAUAUUGGACAAUGGGCGAAAGCCUGAUCCAGCCAUGCCGCAUGAGUGAAGAAGGCCUUCGGGUUGUAAAGCUCUUUUAGUGAGGAAGAUAAUGACGGUACUCACAGAAGAAGUCCUGGCUAACUCCGUGCCAGCAGCCGCGGUAAUACGGAGAGGGCUAGCGUUAUUCGGAAUCAUUGGGCGUAAAGGGCGCGUAGGCGGGUUAGUAAGUUAAAAGUGAAAUCCCAAGGCUCAACCUUGGAACUGCUUUUAAAACUGCUAGUCUAGAGAUUGAAAGAGGAUAGAGGAAUUCCUAGUGUAGAGAUGAAAUUCGUAAAUAUUAUGAGGAACACCAGUGGCGAAC
rnacentral:rRNA from 2 species